AUUGAACGCUGGCGGCAUGCCUUACACAUGCAAGUCGAACGGCAGCACGGGUGCUUGCACCUGGUGGCGAGUGGCGAACGGGUGAGUAAUACAUCGGAACGUACCUUAUCGUGGGGGAUAACGCAGCGAAAGCUGUGCUAAUACCGCAUACGCCCUGAGGGGGAAAGCGGGGGAUCGCAAGACCUCGCGCGAUUAGAGCGGCCGAUGCCUGAUUAGCUUGUUGGUGGGGUAAAAGCCCACCAAGGCGACGAUCAGUAGCUGGUCUGAGAGGACGAUCAGCCACCCGGGGACUGGGACACGGCCCAGACUCCUACGGGAGGCAGCAGUGGGGAAUUUUGGACAAUGGGGGCAACCCUGAUCCAGCAAUGCCGCGUGAGUGAAGAAGGCCUUCGGGUUGUAAAGCUCUUUUGUCAGGGAAGAAACACCGGCUCUAACACAGUCCGGGAAUGACGGUACCUGAAGAAUAAGCACCGGCUAACUACGUGCCAGCAGCCGCCGUAA
rnacentral:rRNA from 1 species